rnacentral:rRNA from 1 species
UGGUCAAGUUAUUAAGGGUGCAGGGCGGAUGCCUUGGCACUAGGAGCCGAUGAAGGACGUGAUAAGCUGCGAUAAGCUUCGGGGAGUUGCACGUAAACUUUGAUCCGAAGAUUUCCGAAUGAGGAAACUCACUUAGAGUAAUGUCUAAGUAUCAUUAAGUGAAUACAUAGCUUAAUGAGGGGAACUCAGGGAACUGAAACAUCUAAGUACCUGAAGGAAGAGAAAGAAAUUCGAUUCCGUAAGUAGCGGCGAGCGAACGCGGAUUAGCCCAAACCAAUAAAGUUUUCUUUAUUGGGGGUGCGAAAAUAUCAUAACGAAGNGGUAUCGUAAUUGAAGAGGGUUGGAAAGACCCACCUCAGAAGGUAAUAGUCCUGGAUGUUAAACGAGAAGACUUUAGAUAUGAUCCAGAGUACCACGGGACACGUGAAACCCUGUGGGAAGCAGGAGGGACCACCCUCCAAGGCUAAAUACUACCUAGUGACCGAUAGCGUAUAGUACCGUGAGGGAAAGGUGAAAAGAACCCCGGGAGGGGAG